UACGGGGGGGGCAAGCGUUGUUCGGAAUUACUGGGCGUAAAGGGCUCGUAGGCGGCCAACUAAGUCAGACGUGAAAUCCCUCGGCUUAACUGGAGGACGUGCGGAAGAAACUGCAAGGCUCGAGUCCGGGAGAGGGGGGUGGAAUUCCCAGUGUAGCGGUGAAAUGCGUAGAUAUUGGGAGGAACACCGGUGGCGAAGGCGGCCCCCUGGACCGGAACUGACGCUGAGGCGCGAAAGCGUGGGUAGCAAACGGG
rnacentral:rRNA from 1 species